rnacentral:rRNA from 1 species
CGUGUAGGCGGUUGGAUAAGUCAGAGGUGAAAUGCCAGGGGCUUAACCUUGGAACUGCCUUUGAUACUGUCCGGCUAGAGGGCGGAAGAGGAUAGUGGAAUUCCUGGUGUAGCGGUGAAAUGCGUAGAUAUCAGGAAGAACACCGGUGGCGAAGGCGGCUAUCUGGUCCGCUACUGACGCUAAAGCGCGAAAGCCAGGGGAGCAAACGG